ensembl:lncRNA
AUGGUAGGAGAUUGAGCACUAAUUCUCAAGAUUAUUUCAGUGACAGUGUGUUCACAGUGAAGAUUUGCCUGUUUGCUUUCUACUGGGAGAAAAACAAAGCUUUACAACAAAAUUAAGCACUUGUGUAGCAAAGAUGAGACUGAAGACAUAAUACUAGUGUUUGGCUAUGUCCUGGACAACUUCUUUACCUGAAUUUGCUCUUCAACUUAAGCUCACUGGCUGUUUGAAGCUUCAGCUGGUUUACCGGCAGUGUUAGAACUGGGAACCACAGAGCACUGAUACAGCUACAUUUUUAACCAUUUUCAGUUACAUUUCCAACGGCCACAGCCGUGCUGGCAGCAGGUGGUACUGGAGGCAGCAGAGGUUUAAGCAGAAAAAGUGUAUGUAUUUCCAUCUCAGUGAGCAGAGAGCCUACACCAGGUGAGGAGGCAGCCAGGUUGGCCUUGGUGAGGCAGAAUUCCCUGCUUUUGAGGAGGUGGCUGAUGUGCGGCCCUGAGGAUCCGCCCUCCUUCUCUGUGGAUUUUGCACACCAAAUUCACCCAAGUGGCAAGCUUGUGGUGGGGGAAGUGAGAGGGGAGGACAUUUGUAGGGAUACAUGAAUUUGUGGAAGAUAUUUUGUCAUUUUUAGCAUUGUUCUGAACUGUAUUCCAUGUAAGACAGAAGCCACUGGCUAAGGCCGUGUCAGUUACCAGAGACUGGUCAAGUUCAAGAGGGGAAAAGAGUUUUUGUCAAACAAUGUGCCCAUAUUGAUUUUCUGCUUUAGUGAAUGCCUGGAAGAGAAAAUCUGAUCAUUCAAUGCACCAUAGUUAUGCUUUAAAGGAUUUUUCCCAGGAGACAUACAUGACCUGGUUUUUGAUACCUCACACUUUGGUUAAAUGUUUCAGAAGAUGAACUGCAAUUGCAUAGUGUGGGGAUUCUUUUGGCUCAUUGUGCUGUUCUUUCUCGGCUGGCCCAUAAGCAUAGCCUUGUGUGCCCUCCAUGGAUUCCUUUCUCCUCUUGCUACUUUAAUUGGACUGGAUGAAUUAAGUGAAGCGCUACUGAAGGGCGCAAGUCUGGGGAGGCAGUGUGCUCAGAAUGUGCGUAAUGGCAAGCCCCUCUGUUAAGCAAUGAAGACAGCCCUGCAUAAAGCAAGCGUUCACCUGUAUGCUAGAAGAUUUCAAAGUUUACUCUGUGAAUCUUACAUUUUUUUCCAGUUCUAAAUAAUUUACUAUUUUUAAAAAAGUUUUUCAGUGUGUAUAUUUCUCUUGUGGAUGUCUGGAAACUUUAACAGUUCAGAAGUUUGUCGCUGAGAAUUUACAAUACAGGUUGCAGCUGUUGUUUUGAAAAUGGGUAAUGACACUGUACAUGGAGAAGGUAGCUAAGUAUGUAUUGCAAGAUUGAGCUGAGUGUCAAAGCUGCUUAAAUGGUUGAAAAUACUGCCCUAAGGAGUGUAAUGCACCUUAUGAGUCUGACUAUGACACUUGAAAAGAGUGGAUUCUGAACAGGAAAUUUAUUUUUGUGAAUAUUUUAUUCUACAGUGCACUUUGUUUGACAAAAGAUGUGAAAUUCUUAUCUGAUGUUUGUAUAGCAUGUAUCUUUUCAUUUUUAUGUGUUUCUGUUCUUUCUUUCCUUUAAAAAAGAAAUUAUAGUCAUUUGUACUAUGAUCUCACUUAGUAUUAAUCUCCUGUGAACAGUGGGUUUUCAGUGAAACAAGUUUGCUGAUGUGGGUUCACUGCACUGAUUUUCAAACAUUAGAUAAAUAAAGAACAUCUG